rnacentral:rRNA from 1 species
AUGCAGUCGAACGGCAGCACGGGAGCAAUCCUGGUGGCGAGUGGCGAACGGGUGAGUAAUAUAUCGGAAUGUGCCCAGUCGUGGGGGAUAACGCAGCGAAAGCUGUGCUGAUACCGCAUACGAUCUCUGGAUGAAAGCGGGGGACUCGUAAGAGCCUCGCGCGAUUGGAGCGGCCGACAUCAGAUUAGCUAGUUGGUGAGGUAAAGGCCCACCAAGGCGACGAUCUGUAGCUGGUCUGAGAGGACGACCAGCCACACUGGAACUGAGACACGGUCCAGACUCCUACGGGAGGCAGCAGUGGGGAAUUUUGGACAAUGGGCGCAAGCCUGAUCCAGCAAUGCCGCGUGCAGGAUGGAGGCCUUCGGGUUGUAAACUGCUUUUGUACGGAACGAAAAGGUCUGCCUUAAUACGGUGGGCCCAUGACGGUACCGUAAGAAUAAGCACCGGCUAACUACGUGCCAGCAGCCGCGGUAAUACGUAGGGUGCGAGCGUUAAUCGGAAUUACUGGGCGUAAAGCGUGCGCAGGCGGUUAUAUAAGACAGAUGUGAAAUCCCCGGGCUCAACCUGGGACCUGCAUUUGAGACUGUAUAGCUAGAGUACGGUAGAGGGGGAUGGAAUUCCGCGUGUAGCAGUGAAAUGCGUAGAUAUGCGGAGGAACACCGAUGGCGAAGGCAAUCCCCUGGACCUGUACUGACGCUCAUGCACGA